ACGGAGCUCCAGCCAGGGCCGCGGUUCGCCUGCACGUCACGGCUACUCAAACCCAAGCACGUCCCGAAAGCGGUAUUUUCUGCGUCUGGGAGGUUUUUGCAUCCUCAGUUCCCACCGCUGGGGCUGGCGGCGACCAACUAUAGUCAUUUUGCCUCCUGGACAGUUGGCUGACGAAGUGUCUGAUAAACCAGCUUCAGAUACAUGCUACAAAAGGCUACUGAGCUGGCCUGAUGAUGAUCCUUCUGAGAUAUAUUUAUAGCAGAUGAUUUGUGGAUGAUAACUACGCCAAGCAAGACACUGUCUCCAGUAACCCCAGGCUCGUCUGACUUCCUCAGGGGAUUAUAAUAAAGAAUCACAAAAAGAACCCUAUAUGGACAGUCUGGUCUCUGGACACUAACAACAGCACAAUCCAAAGGCAAAGAAAGGAGGAACCACCUUGUUUCAUGUCUGCAAGCUGCUCCAUAUGAAAGCAUUGCUGACAUGUUGACCCAACAGCAAAAAGAGAGCAGCAGUUUACACACCCUCAGCUCUCUGUCCUUUCCUUUCUAUUGAUGUUGGUCCACUUUUAUGACUGAAUACAUAUUAAAAUCACCAUUUCAAAUUAUAAUUAUCUGCUUUCAUUGGUCUCUUUCACAAGUCUAUGUCUAUAUUUAUGUUUACAUAUAUAAACACAUAUACACAUAUUUUAUACAUACAUAUGUAUAUGUAUGCACGCAUUAUUUGUAAGUACACAUACACGUGUGUGUAUAUAUAUGUAUAUGAUAUGUAUAUGUGUAUUUCAGUUGAUACACAUAUAUUUGCUUGGGAAGUUUCACUACAUUGCUUUGUAUUUCUCUUUUAUAAGGUAAUGCAUUUAAUUCCAAAACUACCACAUUAAUUGUAUAAAUUGAUUAUUACAUAAGUUUCCUUGAUGAUUUACAGAAGAACUAUUGAGAGGUCAGUGUUAGCACAUCAAAAUAUAGUCUGGUAUGGCAUUUUAAAUUGACCCAGGUAUCUAAUAUUAAAGCCUUUCAAAUUUAUCUCUCCUGCUAUUAUUUUAUUAAGAUUACUUUGGAAUGAUGAGGUUAUAAGUGUGAUUUAUUUCUGUUUCAUCUUUUUGUCUGUAUGUGCUAAGUUUAGUCCCUCCACUUUGAGAAUAACCCUAUAAUCCAGGAUCAUUGCUUAAAAUUCAGUAUCAUUUGCAGAAUUCUCAUACUCAAAUAAGAAUGUUUCUAGAAUAUGUUUACUCAAUUUUAGAAAGUAUUUUCUCUUUCCUUCUUUCUGUCAUAGUUUUUCUGAUAUUACUGUAUUACCACAUUCUAAACUCUGUGACUUGUUAUUUUCAGUAAGGCUUUAAGAAGCAUGGAUAGGUUUGUAGGUUAUUUCUUGUUAAAUAUGCCUUAAUUUUUUAGUAUUUAGUAUUAGUAUUUAGUUUUUAGUAUUUAGUAUUUAGUAUCUCCCAUAUAUAUAUAUGCACACAUAUAUAUAUACACAUAUAUAUGUACACACAUACAUAUAUACACACACAUAUAUAUACACACACAUACACAAAGCUUUGGAAUGUUAAUUAAAUGAUCAAAAUAUUACAAGAUUACAUUGUUAUGAGAACUUAUCCUUAAUAUUAGCAUAUUUACUAUAAAGUUAAACAACUUCUUCUCCUCUGUCUCCUGUUUAUUAUCAUUAUUUUAUUAUUAUUAAAAAAGGAAGUCUCUCAGAAACCAAGCUGUAUAUCCUCUAGUCUCUAUGUAAAAAAACAAAUUGGUCAUUUUCUACUUGGACAUCCCAGAAUAGAAAGUACAUUGAAGUACUAAAAAAUAAAGGGAUAGACUUGGGGUUAAGGGAGAUGUCAUAGAACAGCUAUCCUGGGUUAGUUCAAGUGUAGUCCUAUUCCAUGCUAGGCAAAGUCAAGGUUACAAAAAUCCCAGUUGCAUCAGGUUUCCAUUUUUUAUCAUUAUUUCCCUAUACAACGAUACAAGUUAAAAAAAAGUCGGUAAAUACUUUUGGCCAUCAAUUUUCAAGAUUUCAUUGGUGAUAUUAAGGAAAUGCUGUAAGUAGGUAACACAUAAUGUCAUAUUUGUGUGCUGUAGAAGUAUCUUGGAAAAUAUGGACUUUAAAACCUCAAAAUAUGGGUUUGCAAUCGAACAUACAUUCACCCCCAAAUUUGACCUUUUUCAGCUAGUUAUUUUCUCAUAUAAAGUUACUAUACUUACACCAUUAUCUUUAAUCCCUGAAAUUUCAAUUAUACUAGAAAUCAAGAUUCUUCAUUUUUACUCACGAAACUGACACUAAGUAUAUACCUCAUUAAGGACAAGAAGCUAUGAAUUCUCUGGACUUCAGUUAUCUCACAGAAAAGAGCUUGAUUGAAUAAUGUCUAAGGCUCUUCCUGACAUAGUCUAAAUAACAGAAGGUGUCUCACAAGAAAUGGAAGCAGUGAGAGAAAAAUGCAAUUAAAUCCUAGACUAGAAAGAAUCACAAUUUUCCCACUCACAGGUUGGAAAUGCCUCUCUAUUCUAUCACAAUUUUGAAAACCUCCAUAGUUUUACUAGCUUUGCCUUUCUCCCUUGCUAUCAUCUUCUGAGGUACAGACAGUCCUUUCCAUUUUUAUUCCUCUCCCACUCUGAUAAUUUUUUUCUUUGACAGAAGUCCCACUUUAUCAUUAAUGAUGACAAUAACUAAGGCUGCCAGGAACAGCACAUCUGCUGAGCUUUAUCAACACCAGAUUCUCUCAUUUUGCCUUCUGGAUCUCCAUGCUUUUUUAUACCAACAAACAAGAGGAAGAAUAUUCUCUACCCACUUCCUUGACUGAAGCCUGCUCUUUUAUGAAGACAUGGCAUCUCUUCCAACCGUGUCAAACAGAUGCAAUUUAUAUGUCUGCUGCUUCCAUACCCUGAUUAAAUGGGUCAGUGGCAGAAUCAGUAUCCUUAGUCUCCCCUUUGGUUUCAAAUAUGUACUCCUUAUUUCAGUUUCAUGCUCACCUUUCUGUAGAGACCAAGGCAUCUGCCUUUGCAGCUUUACCUCUUCCUCCAGGUUAUAGUUUCCAUUCAUGGAAUCUUUUAGCUGCUGGCUGGCAGUUUUCCUGUCUACCUGACUUCCAUUCCUCUUCUCAUGACUUCAGCUCCCAUGCAGAUGUCUUAUCCUGACAUACUAGCUUCUCCAUUCUAUUUCUGUGUGUGUGUGUCUGUGUGUUUCCCUACUAGUUCAUCCACAUUUCCCUAUGGUCUUUUUUUUUUAUGUUUUAUUUUUGCAUAUGUGUAUUUCCUUUUAUUUAUUUAUUUAUUUAUUUAUUUAUGUAUUUUUUUUUUUUUUUUUUUUUUUUUUUUUUUUUUUUUU
rnacentral:lncRNA from 10 species